AAUUUUUUAGUAUAAUAGGUACAUCUAGCUUCCAACUAGAAAGUCUAACUGUUUAGAAAAAUUA
rnacentral:tRNA from 1 species